rnacentral:rRNA from 1 species
CACGAACGCUGGCAGCAGGCCUAAUACAUGCAAGUCGAACGAGAUUAAGGAGCUUGCUCCUUAUGAAAGUGGCGCACGGGUGCGUAACGCGUAUGCAACCUACCUUAAUCAGGGGGAUAGCCCGAAGAAAUUCGGAUUAACACCGCAUAAAAACACAGGAUAGCAUUAUCCAAUGUUCAAAUAUUUAUAGGAUUAAGAUGGGCAUGCGUGUCAUUAGCUAGUUGGCGGGGUAACGGCACACCAAGGCGACGAUGACUAGGGGAUCUGAGAGGAUGACCCCCCACACUGGUACUGAGACACGGACCAGACUCCUACGGGAGGCAGCAGUAAGGAAUAUUGGUCAAUGGAGGCAACUCUGAACCAGCCAUGCCGCGUGCAGGAAGACUGCCCUAUGGGUUGUAAACUGCUUUUAUCCGGGAAUAAACCUAAUUACGUGUAAUUAGCUGAAUGUACCGGAAGAAUAAGGAUCGGCUAACUCCGUGCCAGCGGCCGCCGUAACAC